CCUACGGGCGGCUGCAGUGAGGAAUAUUGGUCAAUGGACGAGAGUCUGAACCAGCCAAUUAGCGUGAAGGAUGACUGCCCUAUGGGUUGUAAACUUCUUUUAUAUGGGAAUAAAAUGUUCCACGUGUGGGAUUUUGUAUGUACCAUAUGAAUAAGGAUCGGCUAACUCCGUGCCAGCAGCCGCGGUAAUACGGAGGAUCCGAGCGUUAUCCGGAUUUAUUGGGGUUAAAGGGAGCGUAGGUGGAUUGUUAAGGCAGUUGUGAAAGUUUGCGGCUCAACCGUCAAAUUGCAGUUGAAACUGGCAGUCUUGAGUACAGUAGAGGUGGGCGGAAUGCGUGGUGUAGCGGUGAAAUGCUUAGAUAUCACGAAGAACUCCGAUUGCGAAGGCAGUUCACUGGACUGCAACUGACACUGAGGCUCGAAAGUGUGGGUAUCAAACAGGAUUAGAUACCCGGGUAGUC
rnacentral:rRNA from 1 species